rnacentral:rRNA from 1 species
AUUGAACGCUGGCGGCAUGCCUUACACAUGCAAGUCGAACGGUAACGGGUCCUUCGGGAUGCCGACGAGUGGCGAACGGGCGAGUAAUAUAUCGGAACGUGCCCAGUAGUGGGGGAUAACUGCUCGAAAGAGCAGCUAAUACCGCAUACGACCUGAGGGUGAAAGGGGGGGAUCGCAAGACCUCUCGCUAGUGGAUCGGCCGAUAUCAGGUUAGCUAGUUGGUGGGGUAAAGGCCUACCAAGGCAACGAACUGUAGUUGGUUUGAGGGGACGACCGGGCACACUGGAACUGAGACGCGGCCCAGAAUCCUACGGGAGGCAGCAGUGGAGAAUUUUGGACAGUGGGCGCAAGCCUGGUCCAGCAAUGCCGCGUGCAGGAAGAAGGCCUUCGGGUUGUAAACUGCUUUUGUCAGGGAAGAAAUCUUCAGGGCUAAUACCCCGGGAGGAUGACGGUACCUGAAGAAUAAGCACCGGCUAACUACGUGCCAGCCGCCGCAGUAA